rnacentral:rRNA from 1 species
GUGUCAGCAGCCGCGGUAAGACAGAGGAUGCGAACGUUGCUCGGAUUUACUGGGCGUAAAGCGCGUGUAGGCGGUCUCGUUAGUCGGGUGCGAAAGCCCCGGGCUCAACCCGGGAAGUGCACCCGAUACUGCGAGACUGGGGUACUGAAGAGGAGAGCGGAAUUCCCGGUGUAGAGGUGAAAUUCGUAGAUAUCGGGAGGAACACCAGUGGCGAAGGCGGCUCUCUGGGCAGAUACCGACGCUGAGACGCGAAAGCGUGGGGAGCAAACAGGAUUAGAUACCCUGGUAGUCACGCUGUAAACGAUGACGACUGGGUGUUGCAGGUAUUGACCCCUGCGGUGCCGAAGCCAACGCGUUAAGUCGUCCGCCUGGGAAGUACGGCCGCAAGGCUAAA